rnacentral:tRNA from 1 species
GCAGUGGUGGUUCAGUGGUAGAAUUCUUGCCUCCCAAGCAGGAGACCCAGGUUCGAUUCUUGGCCAAUGCA